GUCGAGAGGUCCUGCGCCGAAAAUGUCCGGGGCUGAAACACAACACCGAAGCUUAGGAAUGUACGUAAGUACAUUGGUAGAGGAGCAUUCUUAAAGGAGCGAAGCAGUACCGAUAAGGAGCUGUGGACUUUUAAGAAGAGAGAAUGCCGGAAUGAGUAGCGAGAUGGAGGUGAGAAUCCUCCAGGCCGAAUAUCCAAGGUUUCCAGAGUAAAGCUGAUCUGCUCUGGGUAAGUCGGGGCCUAAGGCGAGGCUGAGAGGCGUAGUCGAUGGACAACAGGUUGAGAUUCCUGUACCGUGUAUCAUCAGAACUGUGGGGACACAGAAGGACAACACAUCCCGGGAAUGGGAAUACCGGGGCAAGCGAGGUAGGAGUACGGUUGGCAAAUCCGCCGUACAAUCCGAANACGUGACGCGGAGCGAACUAAAGUAGUGAAGUGUGUGAUUCCAGCUGUCAAGAAAAGCCGCUAUUGUGUGAUGCACGCCCGUACCGUAAACCGACACAGGUAGAUGAGGAGAGAAUCCUAAGGCCGGCGGGAGAAGCAUUGUUAAGGAACUCGGCAAAAUGACCCCGUAACUUCGGGAGAAGGGGUGCCACAGAGAUGUGGCCGCAGAGAAUAGGCUCAAGCAACUGUUUAGCAAAAACACAGGUCUAUGCAAAACCGUAAGGUGAGGUAUAUGGGCUGACGCCUGCCCGGUGCUGGAAGGUUAAGAGGAGAGGUUAGAGCAAUCGAAGCUU
rnacentral:rRNA from 2 species